rnacentral:rRNA from 1 species
GCAGGCGCGAAAACUUUACAAUGCCGGCAACGGCGAUAAGGGAACCUCGAGUGCCAGGUUACAAAUCUGGCUGUCGUGAUGCCUAAAAAGCAUUGCAUAGCAAGGGCCGGGCAAGACCGGUGCCAGCCGCCGCGGUAACACCGGCGGCUCGAGUGGUAACCGUUAUUAUUGGGUCUAAAGGGUCUGUAGCCGGCCGGGUAAGUCUCUUGGGAAAUCUGGCAGCUUAACUGUCAGGCUUUCAGGAGAUACUGCCUGGCUCGAGGCCGGGAGAGGUGAGAGGUACUUCAGGGGUAGGGGUGAAAUCUUGUAAUCCUUGAAGGACCACCAGUGGCGAAGGCGUCUCACCAGAACGGACCUGACGGCAAGGGACGAAAGCUAGGGGCACGAACCGGAUUAGAUACCCGGGUAGUCCUAGCCGUAAACGAUACUCGCUAGGUGUCGGCCACGGUGCGACCGUGGUCGGUGCCGUAGGGAAGCCGUGAAGCGAGCCACCUGGGAAGUACGGCCGCAAGGCUGAAACUUAAAGGAAUUGGCGGGGGAGCAC